UCUCAACCAUGCUAGCCUAGAAUCCAC
rnacentral:piRNA from 1 species